UACGAAGGGUGCAAGCGUUACUCGGAAUUACUGGGCGUAAAGCGUGCGUAGGUGGUUUGUUGAGUCUGAUGUGAAAGCCCCUGGGCUCAACCUGGGAAUUGCAUUGGAUACUGGCAGGCUAGAGUGCGGUAGAGGAUGGCGGAAUUCCCGGUGUAGCAGUGAAAUGCGUAGAGAUCGGGAGGAACAUCUGUGGCGAAGGCGGCCAUCUGGACCAGCACUGACACUGAGGCACGAAAGCGUGGGGAGCAAACAGG
rnacentral:rRNA from 1 species